UAUAUGUUUGCUUUAAGGGUGAAAUUAGUGGCACUGUCAGAACAAUAACUUUGAUGUUUCAAGAACUAGGGCAACUGUAAUGAGAGAAGUGUGGUCUUGCCAUAUAAAGGGAAGUAUAUUGUCAGUAAGCAAAAGAUAAUAGCAUCUUGUACACCCAGAAGGCCUGCUAUGAUGUUUGUGUCUGCAUAAGAUCCCCUUUGCCCUCAGAACAGUCUAUUUUUAAACUGGUGCUGAGUUUGACCUUAGUAAAGAGAUACUGUUGGAAGAUUUUUAAGCACCUGAUCAUGCACAGUAUGUUCCUCACAAAUCUGUUGGACAGUGACAGUAUGUUUUCUUUCUACAGCAAAUUUGUAUUAGUUUGCACUUUCCUUGAGUUCAGAGGCUUUCCUGUUUAACAUUAAAGGGUAAAACUUGAUUAGAAAUUAUAUUCUGUGUACUUAAUUGAAAAUGGCUUAGCUGAAUCCAUGACACAGAAUUAGAGACUUAGCUUCAUUGUCCUAAACAGCUUAUGAUGAGAUGGUUUCAGAUUUCUGAUUAAAAUAGGAAUAGCUUCCGUAGAACAUGAAAUGCUGAUUUUUGUUAACUACAUUUUCUGCACUGUGAGCUGUGUGAUUUCUUUGUAAAACUUGUGAAGAAUAGAGAUUGUUCUAGGUCAAUAUAACUGCUACUUCGUGGGAGCAGCAGGUACACCUUUGAGAACUGAAGAAGGCUGUUGGUAUAGUUGACAUAUAUUUAUUGUAACAUAUUUAAAAUACCUUGCAAAACCAGGAAAUUGUAAGAACAAUAACCUUUCAGGGGCCUCUUGUGACCUGCGACUAUGAUAUUUGACCUUUAUGUUAUCCCAAAAUAUCCAGACUGUAAUAUUGAAUGUUAGGUUUCUUAAAUAAGUUGCCUUAAAACUUGCCAUCCUUACUACAUGAAAACUUAUGGUUUCCUGUGGUCAGAAAGUGCAGUAGGACUGCAGUACUACCACUUAAUUGAGAGAAGGAACACCUCAUUCCAUAUGUUUCAAAACUGACAGUGAUGGAAAGGUGCGAUGUUAGGAUGUCUUCACUGGAAUAAUUUAAUGAUGUUGUAAAAAUAUUAGGCUAAUAUUAAGUUAAACCUGAUUUAGCAAAACAAAGGACCUCUGAAUGUCUGAACCCAAAUGUAGGGGAUAAGACAUGCGUCUUAAUAUCUGAAGCUUUGUCCGUAUGCUUCUUAGUUUAAUAAGGUAAAAAGCUGAGCAUGUUCAUGUAGAAUAUUUCCUUCUCUUUCCUUUUUGUCUAUCCUUUUUGAGACGUUAUCUCAGUGGUUACCUUUGAGAGAGUUUUGAGUAAUUGGCCUUACAAUUUUAUUCUUCUGGUCAGUUCUCAUUCGUAAUCCUGUGGCCAUUCCUGAUGUUGAAGAGAUUACAGAGUAUGUGCAUACAUAAAGUGGGCUGAGGUUUAUCUGAGUCUUUACAAAGUGUAAUAGUUUAUUCUGUUUUGUGUUACCUUAAAACUGGAGGACUGGGGUCUGCAUCUUAGACCUGUGUCUCUCCAUUUUUCCAAAAUCCGGUACCAUUUUUCCAGCUGUCUAAUUCUAAAUAGUUUCUACUUUUCUCCUUUAUAACACUUAAAAGGUUGGGGUUUUUUUUUGUGUGUGUUUUUUUUAACGUAUGUUUUAAUCAGCUUAUACCUGUGGUUAGUGAACAGGUAUAACAUCUCUCUCUAGUCCAUAUGUGAAUGAAAUGACACAUUUGAAAAUACUUGAAGCUUGCAAAGACUGUUAUGUUUAGGAUUUCAGUGGUAUAACUAUAUGCAAGGCAACUCAGCAGGGUUUUUUAGUUCACAAGAUUUGCUAAUGCAGCAGCAGUUAGUUGCCAAGGGAAAUUUAAAUUUGAAGGGACUCUUCAUGUCCUGGUUUACAAAAGCCCUCUUGGGCUAUUCUAGAAAUUUCUGCUAGCAUCUACAUUUAGCUCUACUGUGUGGCUCUUCUUCCAAGUUCUGUGUACAGCUGUAUACUGUUUGCUAAAGCUCAUGAGGUAUUACCUCUCAGCAGCAAGUACAUUGUCUGGAUGGUAGCAGCAGGACUAGCAAACAUGUGUCAGCCCCUGGUAUUCAGACAACAUGUACAGAACAUUUGGUCUUAUUAGCACAAAGCAUUACUUUAGGCUAGAAAUAUUAUUUUUCUCUUUGUCUCAUACUUGUAGUUGACAUAGUGAACAAAUAAAACAUGUCAGUACUGCCUUUGUGAAGAGCUGCAUCUACAUGAAGAGAAAAGUUGUACAAUUUUUAAUGUUAUCUAAUGGAGAACCUUUUUUUUAAAAAAAAAAAAA
ensembl:lncRNA